UAUCUGUUUUAUUAAGGCUGCAGGCAGAGCGCACCAAGUAUUUAAACUAAUGUAUUCGUAAUCUAUAAGUCAAUUUCUAACUCAAUAUCUUAACUCACACCAAAAACCCAUCAAAGCUUAAUAUAAAUCUUUUAUCUUUUUUCUAUUAACCUGAUAGCAUCAUUCAAGCUUCUUUGAAAGUAAAUUUUAGUUUUUAAGUCAUGGAACAAAAUUCUCUAGAGCACAAUUCAUCACUCUGUGACAAUUCAUAUGAUAAAUUUGUCAAACAAGGAAAAACGUAUGAAAGUAAACAGCACGAUUUAGAGGCUAUACGUCCAGUUUUAAAUAACGAUACAUGUCUCCUAGAAGAUAAAGACUACCGCAUACAAUUACGCUGGAAUUCUUCUCUUUUGCCAGUCUUAAAAUUUCGCUUAUUGUUAGAUUAUCUGCAGUAUAGCAUUCCACAGAAGAUUCCGAAGAUAUACUGUUUUUUAUAACUUCAGGUUCCAUUGAUUUAAUCCAGGGCAUCCCACUUACUGAAGAAAAAUUUGUCGCUAUAACGGUAUCUCCUUUACGAAGAAGGAUUUUCAUAAUCCCAGUAACGUCUUUUGUGUUAGUGAAAGCUACUACCCAUGAUACUGAUUUAUUGUGCUCACGUCUUUGCGAAUUUACAAAUUUCGCAAGCUCAAUCGCAGCUUCUUUAUUGUGUGCUCCGUCAAAUAAAAUAUCACCCAAAGAAGGAACCGAACGAAUGUCAAGCCUUCCAGGCCAAGAUGUAUUUUUUACACCAUUUUGUACAUGGGGAAGCAUAAUUGAAAAUGACGAAGAAAGGAUAUCGAGAGCAGUUACUGCACAAGCCAAAUUUUGUCCUUGAUAAUCCCCCUUCAAUGGAGUACUAAAAGUAUUGGUUCCCCAAUUUGGAGUAUUGAUGAUCCACUCAUUUUUGUUUUCACCUGAUUUUCCUUUUGCCAAAUAAAACGGAUGUGCCCUCGUUUCCUCUGCACUUAAUUUUAAUUGAUUUAGGACGUUAACUUCAUUUAACCCAUCAACCACGCACGGAACAUUCUUUUUAAAGAUCCCAGCCUUUUCUUUAGCAAUAGCCUCUAAGGUAUUUCCUAAAAAUGCUUGAUGGUCCAAGCAAAUACGUGAAAUUAUUGAAAGAACUGGUUCUUCAAAUACAUUAGUAGCAUCCAAACGACCACCCAUUCCUGUUUCAAUUACAGCCACACGAACACCUGAAUGAUGAAAACAUUGGAACGCAGUAGCAGUUAACAAUUCAAAUUCCGUCGCUUUUGUACGAAAUCUUCUAUCCACUUCAAUCACCUGCUUCCAACAAGUAUUAAAUAUCUCUUCACUAGCAAUCUGACCAUUUAUGCUUAUGGUAUCUCUUGGCUCUAAGAAAUGAGGACUUGUAUAGCGUCCUGUUUUAAUAGCAGCUUGCAAAAGACUCGUGUAUAUAUAGCUACAAAUGCUACCUUUACCAUUAGUCCCAGCAAUUUGUACAGCACAAAACGAUUCCUGUGGAUUGCCAAGGUGCUUCAAGAGCUGUAGCAUACGCUGAAGACCUAGCUGAAUAGGCAUCCUACGUGAGCGAUAGUAAAGGAGGAAUUUUAAUGCUGUAUUAUUAAAAAAUAAUGAUUCUUUACCUUUAUAAGCUCGUAAAAACUUUAAAAGUACUUGGUCAUGUGAAUAUGUUUUGCA